rnacentral:piRNA from 1 species
GAAUCUGGGAGAAGUGGACC